rnacentral:rRNA from 1 species
GAGUUUGAUCGUGGCUCAGAUUGAACGCUGGCGGCAUGCCUUACACAUGCAAGUCGAACGGCAGCACGGGAGCUUGCUCCUGGUGGCGAGUGGCGAACGGGUGAGUAAUGCAUCGGAACGUAUCCUGGAGUGGGGGAUAACGUAGCGAAAGUUACGCUAAUACCGCAUAUUCUGUGAGCAGGAAAGCGGGGGACCUUCGGGCCUCGCGCUCUUGGAGCGGCCGAUGUCGGAUUAGCUAGUUGGUGAGGUAAAGGCUCACCAAGGCGACGAUCCGUAGCAGGUCUGAGAGGAUGAUCUGCCACACUGGAACUGAGACACGGUCCAGACUCCUACGGGAGGCAGCGGUGGGGAAUUUUGGACAAUGGGGGCAACCCUGAUCCAGCCAUGCCGCGUGAGUGAAGAAGGCCU